rnacentral:rRNA from 1 species
AAUAGAUACCCUGGUAGUCCACGCCGUAAACGAUGGAUGCUAGCUAUUGGGGGGAAUCGACCCCCUCCGAAGCGAAGCUAACGCGUUAAGCAUCCCGCCUGAGUAGUACGAGCGCAAGCUUAAAACUCAAAGGAAUUGACGGGGACCCGCACAAGCGGUGGAGCGUGUGGUUUAAUUCGAUGGUAAACGAAGAACCUUACCAAGGUUUGACAUCCCGGUAGCCGUUCUCCGAAAGGAGAAUUUCAUUUAGUUGGACCGGUGACAGGUGAUGCAUGGCCGUCGUCAGCUCGUGUCGUGAGAUGUUGGGUUAAGUCCCGCAACGAGCGCAACCCUUAUGAUUUAGUUGGAUUUUUCUAAACAGACUGCCCUGGUAACAGGGAGGAAGGAGGGGAUGAUGUCAGGUCAGUAUUUCCCUUACACCUUGGGGCGACGACACGCGCUACAAUGGCCGGUACAAUGGGCAGCUAAGCCGCGAGGUGGAGCAAAUCCCAUCAAAGCCGGUCCCAGUUCGGAUUGCAGGCUGAAACCCGCCUGCAUGAAGCCGGAAUCGCUAGUAACCG